AUUGAACGCUGGCGGCAGGCCUAACACAUGCAAGUCGAGCGGAGCGGCGGACGGGUGAGUAAUGCCUAGGAAUCUGCCUGGUAGUGGGGGAUAACGUCCGGAAACGGGCGCUAAUACCGCAUACUAUCAGAUGAGCCUAGGUCGGAUUAGCUAGGUGGUGGGGUAAAGUCAUACCAGGGCGACGAUCCGUAACUGGUCGGAGCGGAUGAUCAGUCACACUGGAACGGAUACACGGUCCCGACUCCUACGGGAGGCAGCAGUGGGGAAUAUUGGACAAUGGGCGAAAGGCUGAUACAGCCAUGCCGAGUGUGUGAAGAAGGUCCUCGGAUGGGAAAGCACUUUAAGUUGGGAGGCGUUACCAACAGAAUAAGCACCGGCUAACUACGUGCCAGCAGCCGCGGUAAUAC
rnacentral:rRNA from 1 species